UUUACUCCUCUCCUCCUCCGCCGUAUGAGUACAAAUCGCCGCCACCUCCUUCCCCUUCCCCACCUCCUCCUUAUCUUUACAAGUCGCCGCCACCUCCUUCACCGUCUCCUCCUCCUCCUCCUUAUGUGUACAAGUCACCGCCACCUCCUUCACCGUCCCCACCACCACCAUACGUGUACAAGUCGCCACCACCACCUUCCCCGUCUCCGCCACCACCAUAUGAGUACAAGUCGCCGCCACCACCUUCCCCGUCUCCACCACCACCAUAUGAGUACAAAUCUCCUCCUCCACCAUCACCGUCACCUCCCCCCCCUUACCACCACUCCUCUCCACCACCACCUUCGCCAUCUCCUCCUCCACCUUACCACGACUCCUCUCCACCACCACCUUCGCCAUCUCCUCCUCCACCUUACCACGACUCCUCUCCACCACCACCUUCGCCAUCUCCUCCUCCACCUUACCACGACUCCUCUCCACCACCACCUUCGCCAUCUCCUCCUCCACCUUACCACGACUCCUCUCCACCACCACCUUCGCCAUCUCCUCCUCCACCUUACCACGACUCCUCUCCACCACCACCAUAUGAGUACAAAUCUCCUCCUCCACCAUCACCGUCACCUCCCCCACCUUACGAGUACAAGUCUCCUCCUCCUCCUUCACCGUCACCACCGCCACCAUACUACUACAAGUCACCGCCGCCACCAUCACCCUCUCCUCCUCCACCAUACUACUAUAAAUCUCCACCACCACCUUCUCCAUCUCCGCCGCCACCUUACCACUACUCUUCUCCACCACCACCUAAGAAAUCACCUCCACCACCAUACUACUACAAAUCUCCACCACCACCUUCGCCAUCUCCUCCUCCACCUUACCACUACUCCUCUCCACCACCACCUAAAAAAUCACCUCCACCACCAUACUACUAUAAGUCUCCACCACCACCUUCACCAUCUCCUCCACCACCGUACUACUAUAAGUCUCCGCCGCCACCAUCACCCUCUCCUCCACCACCAUACUAUUAUAAAUCCCCACCACCACCUUCACCAUCUCCUCCACCGCCGUACUACUACAAGUCCCCACCACCACCUUCUCCGUCUCCUCCACCACCAUAUUACUACAAAUCUCCACCACCGCCAUCACCAUCACCUCCACCACCAUACUACUACAAAUCUCCACCACCGCCAUCACCAUCACCUCCACCACCAUACUACUACACAUCCCCAAAUCUCCACCACCGCCAUCACCAUCACCUCCACCACCAUACUACUACAAAUCCCCUCCACCUCCGGCGAAAUCUCCCCCACCACCUCCGUACUAUUACAAGUCUCCGCCGCCACCUAAGGCUUACCCUC
rnacentral:lncRNA from 1 species